UCCUUCCUUCCUUCUUUUCAUUCUUUCUAUCUUCCUUCUUUUCUUUCUAUCUUCCUUCCUUCUUUCCUUCCUCCCUUUCUUUCUAUUUCUUCCUUCCUUCCUUUCUAUCUUGCUUCCUGCCUGCCUUCUUUCCUUCCUUUAUUUCUUUCUAUCUUCCUUUCUUCUUUCCUUAAUUCCUUCUUUCCUUCCUUCUUUUCUUUCUAUUUUCCUUCUUUCCUUCCUUCCUUUCUGUUUCUUUCCUCCUUCCUUCCUCCCUUCCUUUCUAUCUUGCUUCCUUCCUGCCUUCUUUCCUUCCUUCCCUUUCUAUCUUCAUUCCUUCUUUCCUUCCUUCCUUUCUUCCUUCCUAUCUUCCUUCCUCCUUAUCUUUGUGUCUUCCUUCCUUCUGUCUUUCCUACUUUUCUUUCUUUCUUCCUUCCUUCUCUCCUUCCUUCCUUUCUCUGUUUUUUGUUUCUUCCUUGUAUCCAUCCUUCCUUCCUUCCUUUCUUUGAAACCAGAUCUAUCUUAUCUUAGCGGUGUCUAAACAAUGGAAUGUGAUGCCAGAUUAAUACCAGCUAAACUUUCGACAAGGGAACAAAUACCAAAAUGAUACCAUCAGUCCCUUAGCUGCAUAUAGAACUUGCAACUCAGCAGAAGCAGCUGCUGCCUGAUGCCAUAGGAAAGAGGGGUUUUGGCUUUUUUUUUUCUUUUAGCAUUUUAAUGUGAUAUAAUGUAUUUGAAACUCAGUUUUAAUAGAACAUGUCUCCAGAAAUAAGUAAACAAACAGAUAAUCAGAAAUAAGUAAAUAAAUCAAUAAAUAGGCAGAGCCUUGUGAGUGCUUCGACUUAGCAGGAUAGGGUGGGAAUAUUUUCUAGUGAUUGUGUUUCCUGCUAUUUCUAGUGAUACCCUUUCCCGCUAAACAGUGGCACUUGUGGAGCAUGGAUCUGUCCUUCUCUCCGGGUGUAGAAAAAAGAUUAGUAAGAAGCCGUGCUGCCUGAAGGACAAGGUGCACGGGCUAUCUCAUUCCCUGCCCCCACCUCACUCAUUUUUCUAACGAUUAAUGACAGCAUAGGCACAUUCCAUCACCGAGCAAAACUAAGUUGAGCUCAGUGUCUGAACUCUUGUUGCCAACUCGUCAUUCCCGAUGACCAGAUUUUUUUUUCUUUUUGUCUGUUGUUUGGUUUUGUUUUAAGAAAGAGCCCCACAUAGCACAGGUUGGCCUCAGAAUCACCACGUAGCCAAGUAAAACUUUGAACUCCUGAUCCUGCCGCAUCUACUGAUAGAGUGCACGAACCACAGAGCUACAGACCCCUCCCACCGCCACCUCGUCCACUACCCUAGAUCAAUCCGCUAUCCCACAGUUCGGGACGCCGAGGUCUGUCCACACUGGACUGUCUCCACCAUCCUUUCGUGCUCUCACUAUUGCCAGAGAUAUACAGUACCCAGAAGUGUCUCCUCGGUGCCCUUCAGAAACACCCCCCCCCCAAGGCCGACGUACAUGCUCAGACAUACACAAAUGCUGUAAACCUAGAUGCAUUGUGGACUGGACCGAACCUCCUUAUCCGUAGGCAUCUUUCUCCUGGCCCUUUCCGGCCAUGGGUCCCGCUUAUCCGUUCAGUCCUUACGUAGCCUGCGCUGUCCUAGCGGGCGGUUCUGCGGGUCACCCCUCCCGCGUCAUCGAGUACCCCGGGCCCGGAGCACACUGAUAGCGGUCGUCAGGACGGGUUCCCUCGUACCCAUUCUGCUGACCGUCUUCUCUAAUCCGGUUCUACACAGAGUGCUCCCGGGCCAAGCCGACGCAACCUCUUCCGGUCCUCCACAGCCCUGGGGACACGCCGAGAGGGAUAAGUCUCCAAACUCAGCCAAAAUGAGGACUGCGACAGGGCGCACUACACCAAUCACAGUAAUUAGUGUCUUCCGAGGCUACCUGGCUGGAGAAGUAAGUAGAGCAUGGAGCUGAAGUGUAUCUGUGUGUGUGUGUCUCUGUGUGUGUGUGUGUGUGUAUGUGUGUGUGUGUGUCUCUGUGUGUGUGAGUGUGUGUGUGUAUAUCUAUGUGUCUCUGUGUGUGUGUCCACGCGUGGACGCGCACCGGUGUUUUAGGGAUUUAGGGGAAACAGCAAGGCAACUUGACUGAACCACCAUCUGGGUCUUGAAGUCUCACAGACCAGGCCUGGGUUCAUCCGCACUCUGAACGCUUGCUGUCACACUAAACUGUCUGAGGCCCGGGAAUUGCGAGUGGGCCAGUUUACCAAGAAUGGAUGGUGUGGGGGCUGGGGAUUUAGCUCAGUGGUUAGAGUGCUUACCUAGGAAGCGCAAGGCCCUGGGUUCGGUCCCCAGCUCCGAAAAAAAAACCAAAAAAAAAAAAAAAAAAAGAAUGGAUGGUGUGGCAUCCCGUUUUGGCGAUCCAGCUACAGAUCCUCGGCGAUUCCUCAGGUCUACGGGACGACCAGUUUGUACGGAACCAAUUCUCGCGCGGUCCUGUUUUCACAAGUUCUGUGGGCCUCGCCUCACGUGGUGUGUCGGGGAGAACAGCGUGGGACUCGGAGUGGGCGCCUCAAUCUUUCCUAGAACCUGCAGGGGGAAGUGGUGGCGGUGGUGUAUCCCUAGACUCCCUGCGCGGCCGUGAACAGCAGUGCGGCCGCAUAGCAAACAGCGGAGAAGACCCGAGUAGCCCCCCAAGCUCUGGUGCCCGGGGGAGUGGAGACGGCGCCGAAAGAGCCAAGGGCAAUGCCAGUAUGCCAGUAUGCCGGACGGUCCUGGCUGCUCUGGACUCCCCCAGGUUGUGAAGGCAGAGAAUAGGGCGGCCCGAUGGUGGAGAGAGCGGCCAUUGUGGAGAAGCUACCAAGUGGUCCGGAGCAGGAGGAGGAAGGCGAGGAAAGCCUGCGGUUUGACCUCAUGGUGCCUUUCCUGACCUUCGUGGAUGCAGAGACCUCGUGGUACCGGACCCGGGAUGAGGAGUCCCUGGAAGGAGCAGUUCACGGGUAGCUCGGAGUGGCUGGCAGGGACCUGGUGAUUCGAGUAACUGAGUAACUUCGAAAACUCCAGCCUCCUCCACAGCUCCGUCUCCUCCCUGCUCUGCCAGUCGGCUUUCUACAGUGGUGACUACCCUGAGGUUCUCCGUGCCUGAGUCCUUCAAGCCUCCUGUGGAGUAGGGGGCUGGGGCUCGGCAGCGCUCUGGCCCUCACCCACUGUACCCUUCCCUAGGGCAAAAAACGCACAAUAGUUGCUUUGCCGGGGCAGGGAGGGUGGUGCUGGUGAUCUUUUCCCUGUGCUUGUCCUGGGAUGGCUCAAUGUUUCCCAACAUUGAAAAUAAAAUAAAGCUGAAACCGG